rnacentral:lncRNA from 1 species
AAGUAGUCUUGUCAUUUCCCCUCCCUCCACAUAUCCCCCUUAUCACUCGCCUCUGUCACUCAGCACAGAGGCCACGCAGACCUGAGCGGGAAGAAGGAAGGCUCUAGAUCUUCUGUAACUUUCCAGCAAGAACAUGCCCUGGGAAACUCUGCAUGAAAUGCUGUUUGCUCUUCUGCUCUAUCUUGCUUGCCUUCUACCUGAGGUCAUGAUGGACCAAAAGACUAAGGAAGUCUAUUGUCGUUUCAACACCACAGUACUGCUGAUGGGGACCAAUCUGAAUGCUUCUUCGAUCUUUAAUGUGGAGUGGCAUGCACAGCUAAAUGGGAGAGAAAAGGUCUCCAUCCUAACAUACUCACCCGGCUCCAACAACAUCUAUAUUAAUGAAAGUUACAGGAAGAGAGUUGUCUUUGCUCAUAUGAACUUUUCCUUGACGAUACAUUAUGUGACUUUCAGCGACGAAGGAGUCUAUACGCUGACCAUCCAGCUGCUUAACAAUCAGCAACAGAUUGGCAGGACAAAAGUCACAGUGAUCAUACCUGUAUCGAACGUGCACAUCACCAGUGAGACAUCUCUUCAUCAUCAGGGGAAAAACAUCACCUUGAAUUGCCUGGGAAUGGCAGGAAAUGCCGUGUCCUACUCCUGGCAGAAAUGCAACCAGCCUUUGCCAAUUGGAAACCGCACCAUCCUGUCUAAGGACAACGCAUCCCUGACCUUCAUUAACAUACAGCAAUCUGACAUUGGGAACUACAGAUGUGUGGCCCAGAAUGUUCUCAGCUCUGGGCAUAAAGACUUCAUCCUGCAGCUUUGUGCUGAGACUGGUGUCUCUCCCUGGUGGAGCUAUGGCAUUUACGGGUACCCUGGCUAUCUGGGCUACGCUAUUGUCCUCUUCUACAUCUUCAGCUGGGUGAAAAGGACCAGGAAAAGCAGCUCCAAAGGCCAGUCAGGUACCAGUGCCUCCAUCUUGCCCCUCAACUGCUGAGCUUCCCUCCCCUUUGCCUUCCACCAUC